rnacentral:rRNA from 1 species
AGCUCCAAUAGCGUAUAUUAAAGUUGUUGCGGUUAAAAGCUCGUAGUUGGAUUUCUGUUGAGGACGACCGGUCCGCACUAUGUGCGUGUAUCUGGUUCGGCCUUGGCAUCUUUCUGGGGAACGGUGCUGCGCUUGAUUGCGUGGCCCGGUAUUCAGAACUUUUACUUUGAGGAAAUUAGAGUGUUUACGGCAGGCAAUCGCCUUGAAUAUAUUAGCAUGGAAUAAUACGAUAAGACUUUCGGUCUAUUUUGUUGGUUUCUAGAUCGAAGGUAAUGAUUAAUAGGGAUAAUUGGGGGCAUUCGUAUUAAC